rnacentral:rRNA from 1 species
UACGUAGGGACCGAGCGUUGUCCGGAAUCAUUGGGCGUAAAGAGCGUGUAGGCGGCUUGUUAAGUCUUGCGUGAAAUCUCGGGGCUCAACCCCGAGCGGUCGUGAGAAACUGGCAGGCUAGAGUGCGGGAGAGGAGAGUGGAAUCCUGGUGUAGCGGUGAAAUGCGCAGAUAUCAGGAAGAACACCCGUGGCGAAGGCGGCGAUCUGGGUCGAUACUGACGCUGAGGAGCGAAAGCGUGGGGAGCGAACAGG